AUUGAACGCUGGCGGCAGGCCUAACACAUGCAAGUCGAGCGGUAACAGGAAGUAGCUUGCUACUUUGCUGACGAGCGGCGGACGGGUGAGUAAUGCCUGGGAAUUUGCCCAUUCGAGGGGGAUAACAGUUGGAAACGACUGCUAAUACCGCAUACGCCCUACGGGGGAAAGGAGGGGACCUUCGGGCCUUCCGCGAAUGGAUAAGCCCAGGUGGGAUUAGCUAGUAGGUGAGGUAAUGGCUCACCUAGGCGACGAUCCCUAGCUGUUCUGAGAGGAUGAUCAGCCACACUGGAACUGAGACACGGUCCAGACUCCUACGGGAGGCAGCAAGUGGGGAAUAUUGCACAAUGGGCAAAGCCUGAUGCAGCCAUGCCGCGUGUGUGAAGAAGGCCUUCGGGUGUAAAGCACUUUCAGCGAGGAGGAAAGGUUAAGUCUUAAUACGGCUUAAGCUGUGACGUUACUCGCAGAAGAAGCACCGGCU
rnacentral:rRNA from 1 species